rnacentral:rRNA from 1 species
CAUGCAUGUCUCAGUACAAGCCAAAUUAAGGUGAAACCGCGAAAGGCUCAUUAAAUCAGUUAUGGUUCCUUAGAUCGUACCCACACUUACUUGGAUAACUGUGGUAAUUCUAGAGCUAAUACAUGCCAACAGAGCUCCAACCGGAAACGGAAGGAGCGCUUUUAUUAGAUCAAAACCAAUCGGUGGCAGUUCUUUGAGCUGUUUAUCGUUUAAAAUGAUGAAUCUGAAUAACUUUAUGCUGAUCGCAUGGUCUCGUACCGGCGACUUAUCUUUCAAAUGUCUGCCUUAUCAACUGUCGAUGGUAGGUUCUGCGCCUACCAUGGUCGUAACGGGUAACGGGGAAUCAGGGUUCGAUUCCGGAGAGGGAGCCUGAGAAACGGCUACCACAUCCAAGGAAGGCAGCAGGCGCGCAAAUUACCCACUCCCGGCACGGGGAGGUAGUGACGAAAAAUAACGAUACGGGACUCAUCCGAGGCCCCGUAAUCGGAAUGAGUACACUCUAAAUCCUUUAACGAGGAUCAAUUGGAGGGCAAGUCUGGUGCCAGCAGCCGCGGUAAUUCCAGCUCCAAUAGCGUAUAUUAAAGUUGUUGCGGUUAAAAAGCUCGUAGUCGAAUUUGUGUCCCGCGCCGCCGGUUCAUCGUUCGCGGUGUCAACUGGCGUGUCGUGGGACGUCCUGCCGGUGGAUUUAGUUUUUCUCUUCAUUAAUGUAUUCACAUGCUCGUUGCUUCUUUACGGGGGUGAUGAUGUUGUGUGUUUAUGUUGUGUUGAGUUAAGACGGUCCAAUUUAAUCCUGUCGCGGUGCUCUUCAUUGAGUGUCGAGAUGGGCCGGCACGUUUACUUUGAACAAAUUAGAGUGCUUAAAGCAGGCUAAAAUUUUGCCUGAAUACUAGUGCAUGGAAUAAUGGAAUAGGACCUCGGUUCUAUUUUGUUGGUUUUCUGAGCCCCGAGGUAAUGAUUAAUAGAAACGGAUGGGGGCAUUCGUAUUGCGACGUUAGAGGUGAAAUUCUUGGAUCGUCGCAAGACGGACAGAAGCGAAAGCAUUUGCCAAAAACGCUUUCAUUGAUCAAGAACGAAAGUUAGAGGUUCGAAGGCGAUCAGAUACCGCCCUAGUUCUAACCAUAAACGAUGCCAGCUAGCGAUCCGCCGACGUUCCUCCGAUGACUCGGCGGGCAGCUUCCGGGAAACCAAAGCUUUUGGGUUCCGGGGGAAGUAUGGUUGCAAAGCUGAAACUUAAAGGAAUUGACGGAAGGGCACCACCAGGAGUGGAGCCUGCGGCUUAAUUUGACUCAACACGGGAAACCUCACCAGGCCCGGACACCGGAAGGAUUGACAGAUUGAGAGCUCUUUCUUGAUUCGGUGGGUGGUGGUGCAUGGCCGUUCUUAGUUGGUGGAGCGAUUUGUCUGGUUAAUUCCGAUAACGAACGAGACUCUAGCCUGCUAAAUAGGCGUAUUUCGACAUCCUAAAGGCCCGCCGGGCUAGUUGUGCGUGGCGCGGGUGUAACAGCUCGUCGUUGCGUUACAAUUAGUUUUUGGCGCGGUUUUUACUGUCGGCGUACAUAAAAAUCUUCUUAGAGGGACAGGCGGCUUUUAGCCGCACGAGAUUGAGCAAUAACAGGUCUGUGAUGCCCUUAGAUGUUCUGGGCCGCACGCGCGCUACACUGAAGGAAUCAACGUGUCCUCCCUGGCCGAACGGCCCGGGUAACCCGCUGAACCUCCUUCGUGCUAGGGAUUGGGGCUUGCAAUUGUUCCCCAUGAACGAGGAAUUCCCAGUAAGCGCGAGUCAUAAGCUCGCGUUGAUUACGUCCCUGCCCUUUGUACACACCGCCCGUCGCUACUACCGAUUGAAUGAUUUAGUGAGGUCUUCGGAUCGACACGCGAUGGCGUCUUUCGGCGUUGUCGAUGUGUUCGAAAAGAUGACCAAACUUGAUCAUUUAGAGGAAGUAAAAGUCGUAACAAGGUUUCCGU